AAGACUAUACUUUCAGGGAUCAUUUCUAUAGUUCGUUACUAGAGAAGUUUCUCUGAAUGUGUAGAACAUCAGAAACCAUGGGGAGGAGGCACAGUGUUGUCUCCCGAGUGUGAAGCCGGGUCCUGGUGUUGCUUCGCUGCAACUGCCAUUUGCCAUUGAUUAUAGUUUUUCUCUUCCUUUGGCAAAGUAAGAGGGAAAGGAUGCAGUCUGAGUGGU
ensembl:snoRNA U3 Small nucleolar RNA U3